rnacentral:rRNA from 1 species
AUUGAACGCUGGCGGCAGGCCUAACACAUGCAAGUCGAACGAGUGGCGGACGGGUGAGUAAUGUCUGGGAAACUGCCUGAUGGAGGGGGAUAACUACUGGAAACGGUAGCUAAUACCGCAUACCAUCAGAUGUGCCCAGAUGGGAUUAGCUAGUAGGUGGGGUAAGGGCUCACCUAGGCGACGAUCCCUAGCUGGUCUGAGAGGAUGACCAGCCAAACUGGAACUGAGCCACGUUCCAGACUCCUAGGGGAGGCAGCAGUGGGGAAUUUUGCACAAUGGGGGCAAGCCGGAGGCAGCCAUGCCGGGUGUGUGAAGAGGGCCUCCGGGUUGUAAAGCCCUUUCAGCGAGGAGGCGUUACUCGCAGAAGAAGCACCGGCUAACCCCGUGCCAGCAGCCGCGGUAAAC